rnacentral:rRNA from 1 species
UACGUAGGGGGCAAGCGUUGUCCGGAUUUAUUGGGCGUAAAGAGCUCGUAGGCGGCUUGGUAAGUCUGGUGUGAAAUCUCCACGCUCAACGUGGAGGGGCCACCCGAUACUGCCAUGACUGGAGUCCGGUAGAGGAGUGUGGAAUUCCCGGUGUAGCGGUGAAAUGCGCAGAUAUCAGGAGGAACACCGGUGGCGAAGGCGGGUCUCUGGGCCGUAACUGACGCUGAGGAGCGAAAGCGUGGGGAGCAAACAGG